rnacentral:rRNA from 1 species
GACGAACGCUGGCGGCGUGCUUCACACAUGCAAGUCGAACGGGGAUGCCGCAAAAGCUCGCUUUUAUUGCAUCCUAGUGGCGGACGGGUGAGUAACACGUGAGCAACCUGCCCGCCAAACUGGGUUAACAGCGCGAAACCGCUGCUAAUACCGGAUAAUCCAUUUCUGGCGCAUGUUCGUGCUUGGAAUGGGUUUACCGAUGACGGAUGGGCUCGCGGCCCAUUAGCUGGUUGGUGAGUUAUCGGGUCACCAAGGCUGCGAUUGGUAGCUGGUCGGAGAGGACGAUCAGCCACACUGGAACUGAGACACGGUCCAGACUCCUACGGGAGGCAGCAGUGGGGAAUAUUGCACAAUGGGCGAAAGCCUGAUGCAGCGACGCCGCGUGGAGGAUGAAGGCCUUCGGGUCGUAAACUCCUGUCUGGGGGGAUGAACACUGACAGUACCCCCGGAGGAAGCCCCGGCUAACUACGUGCCAGCCGCCGUAGUAA